rnacentral:lncRNA from 1 species
AUUUUUUGUCACAGUUAUGCUCUUAUUCUCUAUCUUGUGCUUUUCUUUGGUACACUGGUAUUUGUUGCAGGAUUGUAAAGUUAUGAUAUUUUUAGAUAUCCAAUAAUAUAUGAUUAAACCACAGGAAGAAACUGAACUAAACUAAUGUCUGCAAUGGAAAGUAAAAAUCAAGGAAAUUUCAGUUAGUGUUCUACUUUAAAAAAUAACCUCUAUUAGAUUAUUUUCUUUUGUAUGCAAAUGUACAACCUUUUUUUCUUUGUCCACAGGUAAUUUUUUAAAAAGAUUUCAUUUACUCAUUUGAGAGAGAGAAAGAGUGCACAAGUGGGGAGAGGGGCAAGGGAGAGGGAAAAGCAGGCUCCUGGCGGAGCUGGACAUGGAAGACAUGGGGUUUGAUACCAGGACCCUGAAAUCAUGACCUGAGCUGAAGUCAGAGUGCUUAACCAACUGAGCUACCCAGGCACCCCUGUCCACAGGGAUUUCAUCACCUAGUGCAGAAUUUUCCAAAUCCUGUUCCAGAAUGUAUUUCUCAAGAUGUCAGUUUCCUUCCUCAGCCAGAUUCGCUACGACUCUUCACAUCAAAUGAAGCAAAGGAUUGCUGUAGAGAGCUGAACUCAGGGAACAAUGCAUUAAAAAGUUCUUUGUUGCAAGAAAAAUGCAAGACAAACAAUAAAGUUCAUAAAAACAUAUACAUUUAUAAUUGUGUCUUCAUUACUAACCGUCCUGAGCAGUUGAAUUGCCAGUUAGUAUGAGGUUUUCAAAACAGGCCUAAAUAACAUUCCACCAUAAAAAUAACAUUCAUAUGUAACCACUGACAAAUUGCCA